GAUGAACGCUAGCUACAGGCUUAACACAUGCAAGUCGAGGGGAAACGACAUCGAAAGCUUGCUUUUGAUGGGCGUCGACCGGCGCACGGGUGAGUAACGCGUAUCCAACCUGCCCACCACUUGGGGAUAACCUUGCGAAAGUAAGACUAAUACCCAAUGAUAUCUCUAGAAGACAUCUGAAAGAGAUUAAAGAUUUAUCGGUGAUGGAUGGGGAUGCGUCUGAUUAGCUUGUUGGCGGGGUAACGGCCCACCAAGGCAACGAUCAGUAGGGGUUCUGAGAGGAAGGUCCCCCACAUUGGAACUGAGACACGGUCCAAACUCCUACGGGAGGCAGCAGUGAGGAAUAUUGGUCAAUGGACGAGAGUCUGAACCAGCCAAGUAGCGUGCAGGAAGACGGCCCUAUGGGUUGUAAACUGCUUUUAUAAGGGAAUAAAGUGAGUCUCGUGAGACUUUUUGCAUGGACCUUAUGAAUAAGGACCGGCGAAUUCCGU
rnacentral:rRNA from 1 species